GGCAAUUGGUUACAAUAUCAGAGUAUAUCUAUGUUCCACAAACAUCAAAACAUAAACCUUCUACAAAAACUAACUUAUAAACUUAUGAACUAUGCAUAAGCCAUACCAAAAAGUUUCACAACAAAAGUCCUCCCCGAGCGAACGCUCACGCCUACUCGCGACUCGCUGAAGAACCUGAAAAACAAGUAGAUGAGAAGAGUGAGCUACCACGGCUCAGUGAGUAACACAUUUCUUCUAAGCGGAUCGAGAAAUCACUAUGCACAUUUUAAAACAUAAUCAUAACUCAAAUACCAAAAGUACCAAUGGUCGAGUCCAUUAGUCAAUCUCGUAAAACAUGCAUCAAUGGUCUAUUCCAUUGAUUAAUCUCAUCAAAUCAUAUCGAUGGUCUAUUCCAUCGACCAAACUCAAAUCACACGUCAAUGGUCCAUUCCAUUGAUCAGUUCAUGCUCAAAUGUCUAGCCAUGGUCACGAGUAACACCCGUAACAAGACGACCAAGAUUCCCCCCUUGGCAAGGUCUCCACAUAUUAUUAGCCGGUGGCUCGGCCCACAAGGAUAUCCUAGAAUAGUAUGCGCAUACCCACACCCCUCAGGGUCCAUAGAGACAUUGAGCACAAUAACAACUCGAAAGAGAAUCAUAUCACAAUAUCCAGUAAUCCAACAUUAGAAAGAGAAUCAUAUCACAACUCGAAAUUUGAUAGAUAAAUAUCAAAGCAUUCUCCAAAACAUUUCAAGAUUCUUUCACAAAGAAUUUCACAAAUCCUUUUUCAAACAACUAUUCAAAUUGAAGUCGGAAUAUAACUCCCUUCGAAUAACAAAAAUGUUAGUAAUAGCUCGAUCCUGUUUAAUGCAACAAAAUAUGUUUUUUAUCAACUCAUGGAAUAUAUAAUCCAUCACGUUUCUCAAAACAUGAGUUUAAAAUACAAAGAAGAAAUAGUGUCACUCACAUGGGAAAAGCCAAAAAUAAAAAACGACGCUCACACGAACCGACGCAUUCGGAUUCCUAACAAUUAACGGGAAAAUAUCAAAAAACCGAGUAAAAAAAUGAUAUUCUUAUAACGACUUGUCUAUACUAGGCUUAUUAGUCGAUAAACGACACCUACGGGCCCCAAAAGUUCACAAUUUAGCAUAAACCCAUCAUUUUCAGCUAGGCACGGCCCAUACGCCAACUUCGUCACGCCAUAACUUCCUCCACAAAAUUCCGUUUCAAGCCGUCUUAUAGUCUUUAGAAAGCUCUCUUAACGUACAACAACAACCUCAACUCAGCCGCCCCAAAACAGUACCGGAAAUAACAAAAAAAGGGACUCGAAGCCACUGUUCGCUACAGUAUCAGAUUGCGCCUCCAACUUCAAAAUUCCGUUCCGAACAAACCGCAGACUCAAAUCACGAUCCGAAAGAUGCUAUAGCUUCACAACAUCCCAAAGUACCAUUUCUAAAAAAAUUUACAGCUUAACGACUCAAAAAUUGGGCUUCGCCACACAAAUACCCAAGAAAUCCGAAUUUCGAGCCCUAAUUGCGGCAAUUGCUUCAAGCAAGUGAUUAAAGGCUUCAAUUUCUUACCGGCCUUGCAAAACACACUUGAGUCGGCUUGAUGAGGCGUCCGGGUCACGAGCGCGCCAAAAUUUUUCCCUUUUU
rnacentral:lncRNA from 1 species